rnacentral:misc_RNA from 1 species
CACCGUAAUACGAUACGAUAGAUUGUUGGAUAAAGCGUUACGAAGGAGAAAGAAAGAAAAAAGAAAAUAAAGGAUACCUUCGACGUGUUUCAGAACUCCUAUGACGUCAUUCGGGGAAUGCUUUUGGCGGAUCGCUUAAAUGAGUCUAAUGCAGUGGCGAACUGGUCUUGGAAAUAACAAGAAGGACGCUGAGGGCUAAUCAAUUUAUGAUGUUUCACCGUAAGUGACCAAAUACUUUCGUGUAAAGAAUAUCAAGCUGUGUUCAUCAUUUAGAAGACGAUCUUCAUAUUUUUUCUAAGCGUCCAUGUAGAAGAAAGUUACUUUCGCCAGAUAAUUUAUUCUCUGAAACCAUGUAAUUUUUGUUUAAAACAUUUUUGUGCACAAUGAACAUUUUCUAAGAUAUUUAAGAUAUAAAUGGUCAACCUGUAUAUACAUUACCUCUAACCUAAUUUAAUCCCAGUUUGAUCUUACCUUUACCUAACCCAACCAUACUCCCAUGCAAUUUAAAAUAACUAACCUAACCUAACUACGACCAAACUCUACGCUGACCUAAUCUAAUCGUAACAUAAGUAUAUGUUGACUUAAGCUUAUACUACUUUAGUAUAGCCCCACCUUAACUCACCCUGACCUAACAUAAUACCUAAUUUGUACACACACAUUUCAGCUUUAUUGUGUUCAUACAAAGAACCAAUGUUAACAAGCUUUUUCACGUAAUAAAUCAAAUGUUGAACAGA